CUUCCCGAUAAGGGAGCAGGCCAGUAAAAGCAUUACCUGUGGUGGGGUUCCCGAGCGGCCAAAGGGAGCAGACUCUAAAUCUGCCGUCAUCGACUUCGAAGGUUCGAAUCCUUCCCCCACCACCA
rnacentral:tRNA from 1 species